rnacentral:rRNA from 1 species
CCCUUAGAUGUUCUGGGCUGCACGCGCGCUACACUGAAGCGUUCAACGAGUAUUCACCUUGCCCGGGAGGGUUGGGUAAUCUUUUGAAAACGCUUCGUGAUGGGGAUAGAUUAUUGCAAUUAUUAAUCUUCAACGAGGAAUUCCUAGUAAGCGCGAGUCAUCAGCUCGUGCUGAUUACGUCCCUGCCCUUUGUACACACCGCCCGUCGCUCCUACCGAUUGGGUGCUCCGGUGAAUUGUUUGGACUGCUGUCAGUCUUUUAGGCUGUUGGCGAGAAGCUCUGUGAACCUUAGCACCUAGAGGAAGGAGAAGUCGUANCA